GGUGUGGCUCAGUUUGGCUAGAGCGCCUGGUUUGGGACCAGGAGGUCGCAGGUUCAAAUCCUGUCACC
rnacentral:tRNA from 1 species